UACAAUAAUUAAGGUAUGGUCGAAUGUAGAUUCUUUUAUUUCUGUUUUUGUGAAAAUAAGGUUAGUAUAAAAUGUGAGUUGCUGGAUGUUCAUGUUCAGAAUAUCUCAUUCAAAACUUUUAUAGAAAGAGACAGCUUUACCUUUACUUGUAAGUAAGUGAAUGAUUCUUCACAUCCUUACAUUUACAGUCUUAAUAAAUACUCAUUCAGUGCUCCAGAAUUCGUCCAGAGAAUUCAUAGUUGUUAAUAGCUUGUGAAGAAAGCAACUGGGUUUCUGCAGUUACAAAAUAAAAUAUCUGCAAUGUUUCAGUAUGGUGGAAGUGUUGACAUGUGACAGACAGCCUUAACCACAACAGAAUAUUCUGUUUUGUUCGCUCCAAAUGUCAUCUGGCUACUGUUUCUUAACAUUAUUUGUAUGUAAUUUGUGUCAUGUAAAAUACAGAGCAUAAUUAGUCUACUUAGUGAUGUUGAUUAACUCAACACAGUUGAAGGUUGAGAAAUGGUUAAAACUGAUGCAAACUUUUGGAAAAUUGUUGUUUUAAUAUUUAUGUUUAAAGAUGUUCAGUAAAGUUUGGUUGUAGAGUGCUGUUCAUUGAUAGAAACAAGAACUUGAUGUCUGGAUUCCUUUAAAUAUUUCCGAGACUCCCGUGUCAUAGAUUUAGGGCACGUAAAAGAAACUUACGAGCGUGAAAGAAGAUGUUUCAUAAGCAAAAUUCAGUGGCCAUUUCUCACCAAAGUCACUCCUGAUUCAUUACUAGAAGGCUCUAGUAGUCAAAUCAGGAUUAAAUAGAAAGUGUGCAGCGGUGGUGGGCUUGUAACUCAAUACUCAUAAAUGCCCACUUCAACGACAAAGAAACCUCCCAAUUGGGAGGAGGCCGAGGUUCGGCUUCGGGUUGUUGCGCCUUAGAAGAAGAAGAAGAAGCAGCAGUAAUUAGAAUUAAUAAUUAUAUACCUUACAAAAUUCUUUCUGUGCAUAUUGUCUGGUAGUACAAAAUUAGUGUAUAUGAAAUUUGUAACUGUAGCUCCAAAAUGUCACUCCAUAUCUAUAUUUAUAAUGUUCCACAUAAACAAUGUUUCUUGCGUGGUCUGUCUCCAUACCAAAUUACAUGUGCAUAGAUGAAGUGGUUCAUUAGUUACUGCCAUCAGACGUGGCAUGUUAAGAUAUAUUCUACAACAUGACCUCAGUAGCAUUUGCUUGCGUUUUGAAGAUCUUUGAGAACAAAAUUUUAUUAUUUCAUACUAUUUGGCACUGGUGCCACCUGCAUCUAAGAGUUUGGCACUGUUGCCAUUUAGACAUUGUGGAUGACAUGAAAAAUUAAAAAGUGUGAAGAUCGCAUGGCUGCUUGUGACAUGAUGUUUAUAAGAAGUUUUGUGAAAGUUGGUCAAUAGAUUUGAAAGUAAUUAAGGAGAAUAACCACAUGGAUAGACAGACACUGUAUUGUGAUACCAUGUCUGUGUUUCCCUGUAAUAAGGAAAGUAGGCUAAAACAAAACUGAUAACUUGCUUGAGUCUAGAAACGUGCUUCUUAUUUGUGUGUUGUGUGUUACCUGAAGCUGUACCACUACACUUUGUAAUUUUGAACACUGAUCUGAUUUGAAUAAUAUAUAUGUGUUUUACAGGUUUUCACCAUUCAUCAGCUGCCUGAGUAGAUCUGACACUGGUGAGUAAAAUACAUUAUAGUACCUGACCGACAUUUAUUAUCAUAAGCAGUUCUUAAAAUGAUGUUAUAUAUUAACACGACUAUAAGUUAGAAAUACUGUUAAUUUUAUAUUCUGUCAACAGUUUCAUUAAGUUGAAAGUGCUCACAACAAUAGUUACCAACAAAUACUGAUUGCAUUAACAAGAUGUUUUCUGAUGUUAUCAGGUAACAAUAUUUUUCAUCACAGAGGAUGACACACUAUUACAAAAUACAGUGUGUCCACAAAGUCCCUUCGGGGUUUUGAAAAAUUGUGGUGCGCAAACAAAUUGAGCUAACCAUGUGCGAUUUGCGGAAGAUUACAGUUCUGUGGAGCAUGUCCGCUGGAAUAGCCGAGAUCGCAUUCCUGAUACGGGGCUUCAGGUCAUCAAGUCUGUUAACUGGUGUUCAGAACACAUUGCUCUUGACAUAACCCCACAGGAAAAAAUCCAGUGGUGUUAUGUCUGGUGAACGUUUAGGCCAAGGCAUUGGACCAUCUCUGCCGAUCCAUCUUCCUGGAAACAUGAACACUUAAUCAUGCAGCAAGUGCAAUGUUGAAAAUAAACACUUUUAUUUAAAACACUGAAAUUUUGGGACCUUUCAAACCAGUAUGAUUGAAAAGCUUGACUUUUAGAUAUUUUUCAGUUAUAAAUGCUGUAAUUAAUAGUAUGAUUAACACUAAAAAGCAAAGGCUGCGAUAUAUCGGCGCUGGCUAGUUUUGCUGAUGUAAUUACAUAUAAGGCUCGAAGGUGGAAGCACAAGGCUGCAUCAGCUACUUUAAACUUCAGUUCAUAUUUUCAUCAAGAGGUGGCUCCUAUAGACCGACAUGAAGACGGAAAAUUACAUUGUGGAAUGCGUCAAAAACAUAUAAGAUCCCAUAUAGAACCCUGAAGAGACGCAUUGAAUCUGAAAAUAUCGUGAAAGAGUUUCCUGGCCCUGCAGGUUCGUUUUAUAUUUUUACGUCAUAAAUUUCUUUGCUCAGUUUACUUAAUAAAGGUUAGUUCCUAUAUUAUUUCAGUUUCACAUUGAACUUAAAACGAUUUCAGGCUGCCUUAGAAGAGAACAAGAAAAAACCCUUGUAAAAUAUAUGCAGCGUCUAGAGGAAGCUGGUUUUCCACUAACAAGCAAAUUCCUACGGCAGAUAGCUUACAGUUUUGCUGAGAAAAAUUGCAUUCCUCAUCGGUUCAACAGAGUCACAAGGCUUACUGGUUAUGACUCCAUGCAGUUAUUUUUUGAAAUGUCAUCCUGAACUUGGAAUGAGGAAGGCACAAGGUGUGUCUAUCGCACGUGGGUUGGGCAUGUGCCGGCAAGAAGUAGACAACUACGUACACUGCUUUUACAGACUUGCCAGGAAAACGGCUUCCUAGCAAACCCCAGUAAGAUCCACAGUAUGGACGAAUGCGGCCUGCAAAUGAACAAUGAACCGGGCAAAGUCGUUGCUUCAAUUCGUCAACUUCCUCUGCUGAUGAAUUCUUACCUAAAAGCGACAGCGACGACAAUCUGGAUGAUGAUCAUUUCUGUGUUGUUUGUAAUGGGUACUUUUACGCAAAAUUGGCCCUAAAUGUGACCGAAUUCAGUGUGUCAGCUGUGGCAAAAACUGUAGUUCUGACAGUUUGCAUUGUACCAAAUGUUAAAUGUCUGUCUGUUCUCUUUGCAAGCAGAGGCAUCUUCCCCAUACAGUCGGGGAAACAUGCCAGUUGUGCAAGGUUGUAUUCGAAGAAUUGUUUUGCCUCUUUAUAUAUCUCAUUUUUAAUUGUAAUUAAUUACUUGAAUACAAAAAGGUUUGAAAAAUAUGUCAAUUUUUGGUACUUCUUACUCACCCAUUUUCUAGUUAUCCCCGCGAAAUGCCUUAACUGUUGCGUUUUCCCUCACAUUGCCCUAUUUUUUUCACUGUUUUGAUUUGUGGCACUUCUGGUAUAUAAGUAAUCAAUUGCCAUGUGUGAAUUUAAUUCACUGAAGUUAAUGUGAUGGGUUAAAUGAAAUUCCUCCAUUUGUUUAAUACAAUACAGACUCAUUCCAUGUCAAAUCAUCCAUCAAUGAGUGAUUGCUUGCCCAUCACAAAUAUCGCUAAAUUAUAAAUGUUUUCUUUUCUGAAUUAAGCUCAGUGUUACACGUCUAACUUCCAGAAUAAAAUCUAUGUUUGUUUUUUCUCACAGUUACAAUUUACUAAAACAACAUACUGUGGUGGAAAACGUAUACGAAUAAAACUUAACCUGCAAAUAAUUCGAAUAUAAUUUCUUAAAUAAUUCUACAUAGCUAUACAAAUCUGUUUAAGUUUUUCAGCUGAGCAGUGCCUCAUGGCUCGGAGUGACCCAUCUCCGCGAUCUUUGGAGCCCCAGGCUUCGAUGCCCUUAUGAGGCAGUGCGGCGGGCAGUCUGUGUGUGUCCGUUACGCAGGAUGCUUCACCGGAGAGAACCUAAAGACAAGUUUUCCGGCCUGUUCAGAGCUAGGUCACAAUGCCAAA